AUGGGUUCCAGGUUCCUAAGCUGUGUGGCCUUCUGUCUCUUGGGAGUAGGUCCCCUGGAGAUGGCUGUUUUCCAGACUCCAAAACAUCUUGUCACACAGGUGGGAAAUAAAGCGUUUCUCGAGUGUGAACAAAAGCUGGGCCAUGAUGCUAUGUACUGGUACAAGCAAGACUCUAAGCAAUUGAAGAUUAUGUUUACCUACAAUAAUAAACAACUCAUUUUAAAUGAAUCAGUUCCAAGUCGCUUCUCACCUCAGUCUCCAGAUAAAGCUCUUUUGAAUCUUCAUGUCAAGUCUUUAGAACUGGAUGACACUGCUGUGUACUUCUGUGCCAGCAGCUAUGACACAGCCAUGCAGAGCCACUGCCUCCCUGUGCACAAACCCAGCCAGCCAGGAAGCAGUGGGGGUUGA